UACGGGGGGAGCAAGCGUUGUUCGGAUUUACUGGGCGUAAAGGGCGCGUAGGCGGCGUAACAAGUCACUUGUGAAAUCUCCGGGCUUAACUCGGAGCGGUCAAGUGAUACUGUUGUGCUAGAGUGCGGAAGGGGCUACUGGAAUUCUCGGUGUAGCGGUGAAAUGCGCAGAUAUCAGGAGGAACACCGGUGGCGAAGGCGGUUCUCUGGGCCUGUACUGACGCUGAGGAACGAAAGCGUGGGGAGCGAACAGG
rnacentral:rRNA from 1 species